AUUGAACGCUGGCGGCAGGCCUAACACAUGCAAGUCGAGCGGAUGAAGGGAGCUUGCUCCUGGAUUCAGCGGCGGACGGGUGAGUAAUGCCUAGGAAUCUGCCUGGUAGUGGGGGAUAACGUCCGGAAACGGGCGCUAAUACCGCAUACGUCCUGAGGGAGAAAGUGGGGGUUCUUCGGACUUCCGGCAUUAGGAUGAGCCUAGGUCGGAUUAGCUAGUUGGUGGGGUAAAGGCCUACCAAGGCGACGAUCCGUAACUGGUCUGAGAGGAUGAUCAGUCACACUGGAACUGAGACACGGUCCAGACUCCUACGGGAGGCAGCAGUGGGGAAUAUUGGACAAUGGGCGAAAGCCUGAUCCAGCCAUGCCGCGUGUGUGAAGAAGGUCUUCGGAUUGUAAAGCACUUUAAGUUGGGAGGAAGGGCAGUAAGUUAAUACCUUGCUGUUUUGACGUUACCAACAGAAUAAGCACCGGCUAACUUCGUG
rnacentral:rRNA from 1 species